AAUCAACGCUGGCGGCGUGCCUCAGACAUGCAAGUCGAACGAGAAAGUCCCCUUCGGGGGAUAAGUAAAGUGGCGCACGGGUGAGUAACACGUAGGUAAUCUACCUUCGGGUGGGGAAUAACCCAGGGAAACUUGGGCUAACACCGCAUAAUGCAGCGGCACCACAUGGUGACAGUUGUUAAAGCGGGGGAUUUUCGGACCUCGCGCCUGAAGAGGAGCCUGCGGCGGAUUAGCUAGNGGUAAGGUAACGGCUUACCAAGGCGACGAUCCGUAGCCGGCCUGAGAGGGGCGGUCGGGCCACACUGACACUGACAUACGGGUCAGACUCCUACGGGAGGCAGCAGUCGGGAAUUUUGGGCAAUGGGCGAAAGCCUGACCCAGCAACGCCGCGUGAAGGAUGAAAUCCCUCGGGAUGUAAACUUCGCAAGAAUGGGAAGAAUUAGCGAGCGCUAAUACCGCUCGUGAUGACGGUACCAUUUGUAAGCUCCGGCUAACU
rnacentral:rRNA from 1 species